UUCCGUAGGUGAACCUGCGGAAGAUCAUUA
rnacentral:rRNA from 1 species